rnacentral:rRNA from 1 species
ACCUCAGUGUCAGUAUCAGUCCAGGUGGUCGCCUUCGCCACUGGUGUUCCUUCCUAUAUCUACGCAUUUCACCGCUACACAGGAAAUUCCACCACCCUCUACCAUACUCUAGCUUGCCAGUUUUGGAUGCAGUUCCCAGGUUGAGCCCGGGGCUUUCACAUCCAACUUAACAAACCACCUACGCGCGCUUUACGCCCAGUAAUUCCGAUUAACGCUUGCACCCUCUGUAUUACCGCGGCUGCUGGCACAGAGUUAGCCGGUGCUUAUUCUGUCGGUAACGUCAAAACAGCAAGAUAUUAGCUUACUGCCCUUCCUCCCAACUUAAAGUGCUUUACAAUCCGAAGACCUUCUUUACACACGCGGCAUGGCUGGAUCAGGCUUUCGCCCAUUGUCCAAUAUUCCCCACUGCUGCCUCCCGUAGGAGUCUGGACCGUGUCUCACUUCCAGUG